rnacentral:rRNA from 1 species
GGUGACAGCCCCGUACACAAAAAUGCACAUGCUGUGAGCUCGAUGAGUAGGGCGGGACACGUGGUAUCCUGUCUGAAUAUGGGGGGACCAUCCUCCAAGGCUAAAUACUCCUGACUGACCGAUAGUGAACCAGUACCGUGAGGGAAAGGCGAAAAGAACCCCGGCGAGGGGAGUGAAAAAGAACCUGAAACCGUGUACGUACAAGCAGUGGGAGCACGCUUAGGCGUGUGACUGCGUACCUUUUGUAUAAUGGGUCAGCGACUUAUAUUCUGUAGCAAGGUUAACCGAAUAGGGGAGCCGAAGGGAAACCGAGUCUUAACUGGGCGUUAAGUUGCAGGGUAUAGACCCGAAACCCGGUGAUCUAGCCAUGGGCAGGUUGAAGGUUGGGUAACACUAACUGGAGGACCGAACCGACUAAUGUUGAAAAAUUAGCGGAUGACUUGUGGCUGGGGGUGAAAGGCCAAUCAAACCGGGAGAUAGCUGGUUCUCCCCGAAAGCUAUUUAGGUAGCGCCUCGUGAAUUCAUCUCCGGGGGUAGAGCACUGUUUCGGCAAGGGGGUCAUCCCGACUUACCAACCCGAUGCAAACUGCGAAUACCGGAGAAUGUUAUCACGGGAGACACACGGCGGGUGCUAACGUCCGUCGUGAAGAGGGAAACAACCCAGACCGCCAGCUAAGGUCCCAAAGUCAUGGUUAAGUGGGAAACGAUGUGGGAAGGCCCAGACAGCCAGGAUGUUGGCUUAGAAGCAGCCAUCAUUUAAAGAAAGCGUAAUAGCUCACUGGUCGAGUCGGCCUGCGCGGAAGAUGUAACGGGGCUAAACCAUGCACCGAAGCUGCGGCAGCGACGCUGAUGCGUUGUUGGGUAGGGGAGCGUUCUGUAAGCCUGCGAAGGUGUGCUGUGAGGCAUGCUGGAGGUAUCAGAAGUGCGAAUGCUGACAUAAGUAACGAUAAAGCGGGUGAAAAGCCCGCUCGCCGGAAGACCAAGGGUUCCUGUCCAACGUUAAUCGGGGCAGGGUGAGUCGACCCCUAAGGCGAGGCCGAAAGGCGUAGUCGAUGGGAAACAGGUUAAUAUUCCUGUACUUGGUGUUACUGCGAAGGGGGGACGGAGAAGGCUAUGUUGGCCGGGCGACGGUUGUCCCGGUUUAAGCGUGUAGGCUGGUUUUCCAGGCAAAUCCGGAAAAUCAAGGCUGAGGCGUGAUGACGAGGCACUACGGUGCUGAAGCAACAAAUGCCCUGCUUCCAGGAAAAGCCUCUAAGCAUCAGGUAACAUCAAAUCGUACCCCAAACCGACACAGGUGGUCAGGUAGAGAAUACCAAGGCGCUUGAGAGAACUCGGGUGAAGGAACUAGGCAAAAUGGUGCCGUAACUUCGGGAGAAGG